GACGAACGCUGGCGGCGUGCCUAACACAUGCAAGUCGAACGAGUGGAGAAGGGGGGAGUAAUACGUGGGUAACCUGCCCUCUUUUGGGGAUAAGCUUUGGAAACGGGGUGUAAUACCGACUAAAGGGGGAUGGGCGCGCGGCCUAUCAGCUUGGUGGGGGGGGGCUGGACGACCAAGGCGGUGACGGGUAGGCGGGCUGAGCGGGUGACCGGGCACUUAGGGACUGUGCUACGGCCCAGAGGCCUACGCGGGGCAGCAGUGGGGGAUAUUGCACAAAGGGCGAUCGACUGAUGCAGCGUCGCUGAGUGGGGGAUGAGGGCUUUCGGGUUGUAAACCUCUUUCGCUAUCGAACGGGUAGGUGGAGAAGAAGCGCCGGCUAACUACGUGCCAGCAGCCGCGGUAAUUC
rnacentral:rRNA from 1 species